AUGGUUCUACUUAGUAGGAAGCUUAGAAUUCUGUUGCUCUCAUUGAUGUUACUUCUCUGCAUAUUUGGUCACUGUUAUGGCUCAAGAACUACAAAUAUGUUCAAAGUUAAGCCAAAAUAUCAGAACAAGGGUCACUUUUUCGGUUACUUGCCGAGAAGAAUACCUAUACCGUUUUCAUCUCCUUCAAGGAAACACAAUGGCAUUGGCUUGCAAAGUUGGAGAUCACCAUGA